UACGGGGGGGGGCAAGCGUUGUUCGGAAUUACUGGGCGUAAAGGGUUCGUAGGUGGCUUGUUAAGUCAGACGUGAAGUCCCUCGGCUCAACCGGGGAACUGCGUCUGAGACUGAUGAGCUCGAGUGCAGGAGAGGAACGCGGAAUUCCAGGUGUAGCGGUGAAAUGCGUAGAUAUCUGGAGGAACACCGGUGGCGAAGGCGGCGUUCUGGACUGCAACUGACACUGAGGAACGAAAGCCAGGGGAGCAAACGGG
rnacentral:rRNA from 1 species